GACGAACGCUGGCGGCGUGCUUAACACAUGCAAGUCGAACGAAGCUUGAUUACGGAUUCUUCGGAUGAAGUAUGAUAUGACUGAGUGGCGGACGGGUGAGUAACGCGUGAGUAACCUGCCCUUCAGAGGGGGAUAGCGUUUGGAAACGAACGGUAAUACCGCAUAAUGUAUUUUGACCGCAUGAUCGAAAUACCAAAGAUUUAUCGCUGAAGGAUGGACUCGCGUCUGAUUAGGUAGUUGGUGGGGUAACGGCCUACCAAGCCGACGAUCAGUAGCCGGACUGAGAGGUUGAUCGGCCACAUUGGGACUGAGACACGGCCCAGACUCCUACGGGAGGCAGCAGUGGGGAAUAUUGCACAAUGGGCGCAAGCCUGAUGCAGCAACGCCGCGUGAAGGAAGACGGUUUUCGGAUUGUAAACUUCUGUUCUUAGUGAAGAAUAAUGACGGUAGCUAAGGAGCAAGCCACGGCUAACUACGUGCCAGCAGCCGCGGUAAUACGUAGGUGGCAAGCGUUGUCCGGAAUUACUGGGUGUAAAGGGAGCGCAGGCGGGUGAUCAAGUCAGCUGUGAAAACUACGGGCUUAACCCGUAGACUGCAGUUGAAACUGUUCAUCUUGAGUGAAGUGGAGGUUGGCGGAAUUCCGAGUGUAGCGGUGAAAUGCGUAGAUAUUCGGAGGAAACACCGGUGGCGAAGGGCGGCCAACUGGGCUUUAACUGACGCUGAGGCUCGAAAGUGUGGGGAGCAAACAGGAUUAGAUACCCUGGUAGUCCACACUGUAAACGAUGAUUGCUAAGUGUGGGGGGUCUGACCCCUUCCGUGCCGGAGCUAACGCAAUAAGCAAUCCACCUGGGGAGUACGACCGCAAGGUUGAAACUCAAAGGAAUUGACGGGGACCCGCACAAGCAGUGGAUUAUGUGGUUUAAUUCGAAGCAACGCGAAGAACCUUACCAGCACUUGACAUCCAACUAACGAAAUAGAGAUAUAUUAGGUGCCCUUCGGGGAAAGUUGAGACAGGUGGUGCAUGGUUGUCGUCAGCUCGUGUCGUGAGAUGUUGGGUUAAGUCCCGCAACGAGCGCAACCCUCGCCAUUAGUUGCUACGCAAGAGCACUCUAAUGGGACCGCUACCGACAAGGUGGAGGAAGGUGGGGACGACGUCAAAUCAUCAUGCCCCUUAUGUGCUGGGCUACACACGUAAUACAAUGGCCAUCAACAGAGAGAAGCAAUACCGCGAGGUGGAGCAAAACUUCAAAAAUGGUCUCAGUUCGGACUGCAGGCUGCAACCCGCCUGCACGAAGUUGGAAUUGCUAGUAAUCGUGGAUCAGCAUGCCACGGUGAAUACGUUCCCGGGUCU
rnacentral:rRNA from 1 species